rnacentral:rRNA from 1 species
AUUGAACGCUGGCGGCAUGCCUUACACAUGCAAGUCGAACGGCAGCACGGGGCAACCUGGUGGCGAGUGGCGAACGGGUGAGUAAUGCAUCGGAACGUACCUUUCAGUGGGGGAUAACGUAGCGAAAGUUACGCUAAUACCGCAUAUUCUGUGAGCAGGAAAGCAGGGGAUCGCAAGACCUUGCGCUGAUUGAGCGGCCGAUGUCAGAUUAGCUAGUUGGUGAGGUAAAGGCUCACCAAGGCGACGAUCUGUAGCGGGUCUGAGAGGAUGAUCCGCCACACUGGAACUGAGACACGGUCCAGACUCCUACGGGAGGCAGCAGUGGGGAAUUUCGGACAAUGGGGGCAACCCUGAUCCAGCCAUGCCGCGUGAGUGAAGAAGGCCUUCGGGUUGUAAAGCUCCUUCGGCCGGGAAGAAAUCGCACGGGCUAAUACCCUGCGUGGAUGACGGUACCGGAAUAAGAAGCACCGGCUAACUACGUGCCAGCAGCCGCAGUAAUAC